rnacentral:lncRNA from 1 species
CUUGUUAGUGAUCAGGCCAACCAUGUUCUUGCCAGAGCAGGUGAAGGAAAUGAGGAGAUUAGUAAUAUGAUUCAUAGUUAUAUAAAAGAAAUCGAAGAUCUCAGGUAUAGUUCAUGUUCUGUAACAUAUAAUGCACAUGUUUGUUUUGGAUUUUGCAAUGUUAUAAUAUUUCUGUUUGUUGGGCUUAGUGUUCAACAGUUGUCCAUGGUGAUAUUUCAGCCCUUUGGUUAGGUUAACUUUAGGAGAUUCUUUACUUACCUUUCCCUUGAUGUCAUAUUCCAAGCUGUUUUCCUCCUUUCUCUUCCCAUAUUAUUCUCCUACUCUUACUGCUAUGUC